GCCCGGAUAGUGUAGCUUGGAAUCACGGAAGCUUGCGGAGCUCCAAACCCGGGUUCGAAUCCCGGUCUGGGCGCCA
rnacentral:tRNA from 2 species